AAGAGAAACAAAACUCCAUCGUCAAGCAAAGAACCAGCCCAGAAUUGUGCAGCCCUUCAAGGACUCAGAUGCUGUGCACAUCCAAAUAACACUAAUCUCACCUCUCAAGAGAGGAAAUUGAGUCAAGGAGUCCAGGCCUUCAAAAUCCAGUGUAUAUUUUAUAU